UACGUAGGCGGAAAAUUAAGUCAGUAGUGAAAUCCUGCAGCUUAACUGUAGAACUGUUAUUGAUACUGGUUUUCUUGAAUAUAGUUGAGGUAGGCGGAAUGUGUAAUGUAGCGGUGAAAUGCUUAGAUAUUACACGGAACACCGAUUGCGAAGGCAGCUUACUAAGCUAUGAUUGACGCUGAGGUACGAAAGCGUGGGGAGCGAACAGGAUUAGAUACCCUGGUAGUCC
rnacentral:rRNA from 1 species